UAGGGAAUAUUGCACAAUGGGCGCAAGCCUGAUGCAGCAACGCCGCGUGAGGGACGACGGCCUUCGGGUUGUAAACCUCUUUUAGUAGGGAAGAAGCGAAAGUGACGGUACCUGCAGAAAAAGCACCGGCUAACUACGUGCCAGCAGCCGCGGUAAUACGUAGGGUGCAAGCGUUGUCCGGAAUUAUUGGGCGUAAAGAGCUCGUAGGCGGUUUGUCGCGUCUGCUGUGAAACCCCGAGGCUCAACCUCGGGCCUGCAGUGGGUACGGGCAGACUAGAGGGCGGUAGGGGAGAUUGGAAUUCCUGGUGUAGCGGUGGAAUGCGCAGAUAUCAGGAGGAACACCGAUGGCGAAGGCAGAUCUCUGGGCCGUAACUGACGCUGAGGAGCGAAAGCAUGGGGAGCAAAC
rnacentral:rRNA from 1 species